rnacentral:rRNA from 1 species
AGAGUUUGAUCCUGGCUCAGGACGAACGCUGGCGGCGUGCUUAACACAUGCAAGUCAAGGAGAACGGGAAUCUUCGGAAUCCCCAUUACACUGGCGAACGGGUGAGUAACACGUAGGUAACCUGCCUCGAGGACUGGGAUAACAUCGCCAACGCGAUGCUAAUACCGGAUAUAACAAUUUUAUCACAUGGUUUAAUUGUGAAAGCUGCCUUCGGGUAGCACCACGAGAUGGACCUGCGCCCCAUUAGCUUGUUGGUAGGGUAGUGGCCUACCAAGGCGACGAUGGGUAGCCGGCCUGAGAGGGUGACCGGCCACACUGGGACUGAGAUACGGCCCAGACUCCUACGGGAGGCAGCAGUGAGGAAUAUUGCGCAAUGGCCGAAAGGCUGACGCAGCAACGCCGCGUGGGUGAUGAAGCUCUUCGGAGUGUAAAGCCCUGUUAGGAGGGACGAACAGUUCCGAGUCAAAUAGGCUCGGAAUUUGACGGUACCUCCAGAGAAAGCCCCGGCUAACUCCGUGCCAGCAGCCGCGGUAAUACGGGGGGGGCAAGCGUUGUCCGGAAUCAUUGGGCGUAAAGAGCACGUAGGUGGGAUGGUCAGUUGAAGGUGAAAACCUAUGGCUUAACUAUAGGCCUGCCUCCAAUACUGCCAUUCUUGAGUACGGAAGAGGGAAGUGGAAUUCCUGGUGUAGCGGUGAAAUGC